rnacentral:rRNA from 1 species
CCUACGGGUGGCUGCAGUGGGGAAUAUUGGACAAUGGGGGGAACCCUGAUCCAGCCAUGCCGCGUGUGUGAAGAAGGCCCUCGGGUUGUAAAGCACUUUCAGUGAGGAAGAACGCCUGGUGGUUAAUACCCAUCAGGAAAGACAUCACUCACAGAAGAAGCACCGGCUAACUCCGUGCCAGCAGCCGCGGUAAUACGGAGGGUGCGAGCGUUAAUCGGAAUUACUGGGCGUAAAGCGCGCGUAGGUCGCUUGAUAAGCCGGUUGUGAAAGCCCCGGGCUCAACCUGGGAACGGCAUCCGGAACUGUCCAGCUAGAGUGCAGGAGAGGAAGGUAGAAUUCCCGGUGUAGCGGUGAAAUGCGUAGAGAUCGGGAGGAAUACCAGUGGCGAAGGCGGCCUUCUGGACUGACACUGACACUGAGGUGCGAAAGCGUGGGUAGCAAACAGGAUUAGAUACCCUUGUAGUC